AUUAAGAGUAUCUGUUAUAACUAUAGCUAAAUAAUUGGCCAUACUGAGUCUAAAUUUAAAUGCUAGAUUAAUUUGAUACGUAACCGAUUAAUUUAUAAUUCCUCAGAUGAUGUUUCGGCAUUUGCCACUCACAAGAUCAAUAUCUUCCCUCUUUUGAUCAGCCCAAUUUUGAACAUGGGUUUUCCUUAAAUAAAUCUUUAAAGAGAAAAACAAUGUAAGAAUACAUUCUGCUUUCCUGUCAAAAUACAAUCGACAGGGAAAUAAUUCCUUGCUGUAUUUUAAAAUUUCUCCCUACCCUUCCUUCUGCCUCAAAGAUUAAGAACAUUUGCUUUUCUUGUUUUCCUGAACCACUCUUUGAACAUCACCAGUCUCCCGGUAGGCUUCAGGAAGUUUGCUGAUCCUAUCAGCUCAGGAGCAGCUAAGUUCACAGGAAGGACAAUUCUGAAAGCUGGUGAAGACAUUGCCAUCAGACUCAUCUGCUUGUCAUGAAAUCGCAACAGCCACCCCAGCCUUCGGUAGCCACCACCCUGAUUAGUCAGCAGCCAUCAGCUGAUAUCAAGAAAUUGCCGCAGCCACCCCAGCCUUCAGUAGCCACCACCCUGAUUAGUCAGCAGCCAUCAGCUGAUAUCAAGAGCACAUUAAAUGUUAACACUGCGACUUGCAAGGACCCCCAGCUGGUGGAUCCCUGAGGACAAGGACAGAAGUUCACCAUGCACGGCCACUCUGCUUCAGGAAGAUGGCCAUGUGCAAGCUAGGAAGAAGACAGAACUCACCAGGGACUGAAGUGGCCAGUACUUUGAUCUUGGACUUCAAGCCUCCAGAUCUGUGAGAAAUAAAUUUUUGUUGUUUAAGCAACCCAGUCUGUGGUGUUUUGUUGCAGCAGCCGAAGUGAACUAAGACAAUACCCUAUGAGCUAAUACCAUUUUAGCAGUGAAGAAACUGAGGCUCAGGGAGCUUAGCAACUUUCUCAAAGUUUCUGUGUGCUAAGCUGUUUCCCUGCCCCUUUCUGUCUGAGGGGAAAUUGAAAUAUAAAGCAACAACCUGUUGCAGAAAUAUUUGAGUAAACAAACUUCAGAAAGAGUGUUAGAACCCAAACUAGCUUUCAAGUAGAAAAAUCAAGGUAUUCCUGGGUGCUGUUAGUGUGAAAAUACAGGAAAUGUCAUUGGACCCAUAGGUGGGAAUUAUGGGCAGGUCUCAUAGAACAGGCACCUAGAAGGUAGUCGGUAAUCAAGAAAACAUUUCUUUCCACGAGGCUGCACGAUCCCCCUCAUCUCUGUGUGUCUCUCAUCCUUUAUCGGCCUGCUUCCCUCUUCACCUGAUUCCUCUGCUUGUUCUUUUGGGGUGCAGCCCUACAAGGAACACCAACCUACAUUCUGCUUGUCUCCACUGAUCUGCUCUGUCUUUGAGUAUUUCCAGUUCUAGAAAUUGGUAGAAAGCCAGCUCAUAUGAGUGAGACCGCAUGUACCACAGGCGGCUGGCCAGCUACUUCUCUGGUUCCUUGUCAAAACUGUUGCAUACAUGUAGCUCAAUCUAUGAUCAUCUCUGCACAAACAAACAAACAAACAAACAAACAAAACCCAGCCCUGCACCCUUUCUGUGAAUGGGAAGCAAUGUACAGAACAUAUUAAGCCAAGAGGUAGGUAAGGCAGAAAAUUGAAAGAUGAUAUCUGUUAUUGAUUUGGUAUGAGUUAAAGGUACAUGGUUCUGUUUUAGAUAUUUUAUAAUAAUAAAAAUGAAAAAAGAGAAAGGAAUUGCCCCACAAUUACGUUUUCAAAAUAUGUUUAUUUUUUCCCCUAAUUUUUCUUGAGGUUAUUUAGAUAUUUCUUGACAAAUCUUCAUGGUAACAUAUGUGAAAGCAGACAUGUUUAUUUUCUUUGAUUUGGUGGAAUGAAUUAUCAAAAUUCUGGUUUUUAACAUUGUUAAAACUUCUGAGUAAAAAAUUUCUAACAAAUGAAGUGUUAAUACCAAAAAAAGAGUGUUAGCUAUGAGUGGUAUGUAAAUAAGUUGUCAAAUAUCAUCAAUAAUAAUUCUGAUCACCAUUUUCUUGGGUUUAUUAUAAUAAGACAAAUGUUGCUCCCAAAGAAACUGCUGAUUCUGGGGCAGGGACAAGAGCUCACCAAGAAAUCCAGCUACCAAAAUAUUUUGCCUGGUCACCCGGCCACAGGGGCUGAUGGCCAAAUCACAGACUUGAAACCUAAUGGCUGUGAGUGCACAUCAACGUGUUCAUCUGUCUGGUAUUAUUAUGUAGUUUUUGGAAAGCCGUGAUCUCUACGUCAGAUUGUUUUUUGCAAAAUAAGAAAUAAUACUGGGGUCUUGCCUCAAAAAAAGCAGUGAAGAUCAGCUCAUAGAAAUGUUUGAAAUCUAGGUAGUACUGCAGAUUUGUGGACGCUAGAGAAUGACUGUAAGAAGUGAUCUUAGGCGGGAAAAGCCCACUGUUAGGUCUUGGCUCAUGCUCCGCGUUGCCAAUUCCCAGCCUUGCAAUUUUGGACAGGUUAUUUAAUCUGUAAGUGUGCUUCCAUUUCAUCACAUAUAAAACAGAAAUAUGAAAACCUGCCUUUGAGCAUUUUCAUGGGGAUUAAAUGAGAUAAGUUCUGUCUGGCACAUACCAAUGCACAAAUAAGCUUAGCAAAUGUUUUUGUUUUUUAACUAGAUGAAGAUAAGUCUCUCCAGUGGUAUAUUUUUCUUUAGGAAAAAAAUAUCAGUACAUGCUUUUAACAUAAACCUGAAUCUAACUUCUAUAUAAUAAUGGACAAGAUAAGACUCCAGAAAUAUUUUAGAAUUUUCUUAGAUGAGCUCUCAAUCUGUGUUAAAACAGGUAAAACCUUUUACUAUAGACUGAGAAGGAAGAGAAAGGAAAAAAAAUGGCCUAUUUAAACAAUGAGGAAUAUAUAUAUAUAUAUUUGUCAGUAUCUUAAAGAGGCUUUUCUUAUACAAACAGGAGUAUUUGCUGGUCAGUGCCCAGAUUUUUUUUUCUUUUGAUGUACAUUAAAAAAAUUAAAAGAAAUAUUCUUAGAAAGACAUCUGUGCCUGGGGUGACUCACAUUUGAUCAAUCCCUGUGAACUGAGCUUUUCAGGGGAUGUGCAAUUAUUUGCUCAGUUAGGCUUAAACUUUUUAUUUAUCUAAUCACCCCUCUGUAAUGCUUUGAUCUGAACUUCCAAGGCCUAUUUUUCAACCACUUUAGCUACAUAUUUUAAGUCUUAUAGUCUAAUCAACCCUAGCCCAUAAAACAUGCAAUGUCCUGUUUAAUGCCUCCUAUUAGGAAAUCAGCUGCCACAUGGAUUUUGUAAUCUCCCACUUUGUGACUGGGUGAGCUGUUUGGAAGUGUCAUUAAUGUCAUUAUUCCAGGAGAGCGAGAGAGAGCCAGCAGCCAAGUGCAUCCCCUGUAUCCCAGCUGGCUUCUCCUUGCUAACGUUUGCCGAGUGACUCAGAGGUGAAUCAUCGGUUUCUGCAGGUGUAAGCUUGGGAGUCCUGGAAGUCUUCCACAUCCCAGUGGGGGCAAAUGUUUACCUCAUUAAUUCAUGGGAUUACUCAGUAGUUCCAGCCAACUUAAUUUGACUGUAUAAUAGUUAAAAAUAUGUGUGUGUAUGUGUGUGUGUGUGUGUGCAUAUUUACUUAUAGCCCAGGAGUGUGCUACAGCUUAGAAAUUUAAAGGUAAAACCUGUCAUUGAAUAAUUAGAAAAUGUUGUGUUUAUUUGAAACAUUUAGAAAAAAAAAUUCUAUGUAUGUCAUUUUACUGUAACAUAUACACUUGGUAAUGAUAUUUCUCACUUUUCUCUCUGUGCUUGGAUAUAUGUGAGGGACUGAGGUCCAUAACAGUUGGUGAAUUAGCCCACUCUAAUUCCUUUCCCAGCCUUGGGGCUUAUUUAGUUGAAUGUUGUCAGAAACCUUAGCCUUCAGAGACUUUUUUCUUUUCAAAGGACACUCAAUUUUUGGUUGUAAAAACAAAAAAGUAAAUAUAAAUAUAUUUCUUCACUUUAUUCAUCUCUGAACAAAUCUUGCUUUUACAUCUUAGUAGUGCCUAAUGAAGAUAACAACCAUCAACUAAAUUAGUAAGAUUUAAGAAUAUAAAAAUAUAGUUACAGCGCCAAUUUGCUGAAAAUUAAUGGUCAUUAAUCAAGACCUAUGAUGCAAUAGCUAAUAAUUGAUUUCCUCCUAUGUUCUAGCACAAUGUAAAAUGCUUUACAAAUACUAAUUUAUUUAAUUAUUAGAACACCCUACAACAUUGGUACUCUUAUUGUCUGCAUUUUACAGAUGAGAAACUCCAGGCAGAGAGAGGUUAGCCAGCUUGCCUAAGGUCACACACAGAUAAUACAUGAUGAAGCCGGCAUUUAAAUCCAGACAGUCUGACCUUAGAACCUGAAUUAUAAAACACUAUGUUAUUAUGGUCUAAUGACAAAUUUUUAAAAAACACAGAAGAAUCUAUGCAUGUAAAUGAAUCCAGUCCAUCUUAAAGUAGCCACCUAUGUAUGCUCUAUACUUAUUUCAAAUUUUGCUGUGGCUUAACACUUCCAGAACUCUCUCUUUUCUUUCAUUUCUAAAAAAAUUCUUGUGGAAACUAUGCCUUGUUGGUCUAAAUAUCACCAGUAAAAGCUUCACUCUUUGAAGUUGAAUUUGAUUUUGGAAAUAGUUGAAAGUGAUUCAAAACUCAGGUUGGUGAAGAGAGGAGGAAUCAAGUUUGGUAAGAUCACUAUAAGUUAAACUGUCUCUAAAUAUAAUUUUCAAGCAGGGAUUCUAGAAUUCCAAAAAUAUUUUGUGUAAUGGUAGCAUCAUUAAAAUAAAUGGAAAGCCUGCAAAGGUCAUUCUGAAGAGCGUUAGAAAGACAGAGAACAGUAGCAUAGAAGUUUCUGCUACAGUGAUUCAUCCUCUAAACAUAUGAAACCAUCCUAUUAGGUCACAAUUCAAUAGAUGCUAUUUGACUACCUGACCUGUUAGAAGCCCCUUUCAAUUCUUCUGUAUCCAAAUUUAUAUAGGGGACAUUAUCGGUCAAGACCCUGGUGAGAGAGUGACACAAAAUGGGUAAUUGAGGAGAGUUAAAUAAAGAAACAGUUUACAGGGUUAUAAGCAGGAUUUGUGGAAACCAAUAACAGAAAGUGCAAAUCCCUGGAUAGGCAGCAUGGAGGCACCAUCAUGCCCCUCAGCCUGAAGGGGCGCAAGGAGAGGAGCAGGGGCAAGAACCAGGGAGGGCUGCUGCUGUGAACAGGGCUGCAUGCAAGGGCCUGCAUUGGGGGAGGCAGCCAGCCCAUGUCAACCAAACGUAGGGGGGAGUCAGCUCAGAGCAAAUACCCCAUCUCACUCUCCUCCUGCCCUCUGAACUCCUGCUACUGCCCCACAGACCAAACCCAACCAGAACACACAGCAAAGAGCCAGCCUGUUGUCACAUGCCACAGAGAUUACCUUUUGGGAGCACACAGUGGGGUCAAGCCUGCCUUCUCUCUGGUUCUCACCUUUCCUAGAGGAGAGGAACUGACGCAUGGUAAAGACAUUUCAUAUACAAAUUUCAGUUACCCAACUGGCCUAGGAAAGGGAGGAGAGGAAGAAUCUGACAUUUAUUGACAGUUUUUACAUUUAGUGAGUACUUACUAUGUACCCAAUGUGCCAGGUGUUUUACUUAUGUUAAAAAUGAAGAUGCAUUAUGUGAAGAGAAUUUCACUUUACUUCUGUGGUUUCCCUCCCCUCACAAUUACAUUCUAAUUAUGAGAAAACAUCAGAUAAACCUUAUCUCUAUUGAGGGGCAUUCAAUAAAAUAUCUGAGCAGUAUUCCUCAAAACUGUUAAGGUCUUCAAAAAUAAAGAAUUCCGAGAAACUAUCACAACCAAUGGGAGCCUCAGGAGACAUGACCAACAAAUAUAAUAUGGUAUCCCUGAUGGGAUCCUGGAAAAGAAAACAGACAUUCGGUAAAAACUAUGGAAAUCUGGGCCGGGCGUGGUGGCUUACACCUGUAAUCCCAGCACUUUGGGGGGCCGAGGCAGGUGGAUCACCUGAGGUUUGGGAGUUCGAGGCCAGCCUGACCAACAUGGAGAAACCCCGUCUCUACUAAAAAUACAAAAUUAGCCUGGCGUGGUGGUGCAUGCCUGUAAUCCCAGCUACUCGGGAGGCUGGAGCAGAAGAAUCACUUGAACCGGGGAGGUGGGGGUUGUGGUGAGCCGAGAUCACACCAUUGCACUCUAGCCUGGGCAACAAGAGCGAACUCCAUCUCAAAAAGAAAAACAAAAAAACAAAACAAAACAAAAACUAUGGAAAUCUGAGUAAAGUGUGGGCUUUAGUUAAUAACAAUGUAUCAGUAUUGGUUGAUUAAUUGUGACAACUGUAUGUACUAAUGUAAGAUGUUAAUAAUGGUGUGGGGUGUAUGGAAACUCUCUUAUCUUUGCAAUAUUUCUGUAAAUCUAG
rnacentral:lncRNA from 10 species